GUCCUAGGUCAACAAUCUCCUGCGCAAUACACACCACCUCCUAAUUAUUAGGAGAUUUGUUCUAUCUAUGCUAGCCUAGCCCAUCAUGUGAGUUAAUGUCCCACGGCUGCACAAUUUUUACCUUUCAUCUAAGAACAAGUUCAAGCUGUCCAAAGUUACUCCAAGCCUGUCAAUGACCCAUUCUCAAAUAUAUAUAAUCCAGAUUGGAGGAACCAUCCUAAUUUUUUUGGAGAUAUCAACAGACUCAAGCCUAGACCCAAAUGUCAUCUGUGCAAAACUUUCAAAAUAGGCCCCAAUAGCAAAAUUAUAUCUAUAAUGGAGGUCAGCUUAGUCAGCCUACCCAGCUAUCAUAUCACAAUCAGCCGUCAUACCCAU
rnacentral:lncRNA from 1 species